UGUCUGUACCCCAGCUCAGGAAGCAGGGCAGGGGGACAAGCAGAUUCCACGAGACAGCAAGUCUAGCUGAAACCGAGCUCCAGGUUCAGUGAGAGAUCCCACUGAAAAAAUAAGUUGGAGAAGAAUAGUGAUCAUGGGUCUCUGGCCUCUAUAUGGACACAAAUGGGGCAUGCAUGCAAAUAAAUUCACAGGCACACGCACAUGCACACACUCACACACGAGCACGUUCACUCGCUACACCUCAAACAAACAGCAUACAGCUGAGCCACAGUGUGUAUGGACCUUGUACUCUGACCGAGUCGUGGAGUCGGAACGGAACUAAAAAAAAAAAAAAAGUGACAGUGUAACUGAGAAAGUUCCCGUCCCGCCGUGUCUGGUGGCAUAGGCAUCCGUGAGGCCGUGAGACCGUGUUUGAAGAUAAAGACAGGCUGGGAUGCCCUUCAGUGAGGGAGGUUCAGCCUCACCACCACAAUAAAGAGGGGGGGGAGGGAAGGAAGGAGGGGAGGGCCUAGUUCUGGGGCUGUGAGAGGGCCAAUACUCUGAGACAAAGUGGUGGAGAAGGAAGCUGAUCUCGAGGCUGGCGUGGUCGGAGGGAGAGCAGCUCACACCUGUGACUCUUUUGCUUCGCUGAGACCUGAGAAGGAGCACCACACAGGAAAGGGUUGGUGCAUUUCAACUAGUUCUACAUCUUGUUGUUAAGACACGGGGCAAGAUGCCCAGCAAAACAAGAUUUUGCCUGUAAAUUGAAAAGAAGAAUGUCGGGAGGAAAUUCCAGGAGCUUAAGCGGCAGUGCACACGUGUGUGUUGUGGAGUAGACGGAAUCAGUAUUCUGUAAUACAGAAGGGAGCAGUGUGGUGAGACAAAAGGCCAGCCAUAAAUGGGUGUGCCCCACAGUGGCCAAAUAAAGGUGUUUAGGAAUGGAGGUGGCAGUCGGUGAGCCCCUGAAAUGUCUGAAGCUGGGACAGUGUGGAGAAAUCACAUGGAUUCCCGACACACUGGAGGUUGUGGAGAAGCAGUGCAGCGAACACCUUCUGUUCCACAGAUAGCUUCUCAUCCUAAUGUGAUUGAUUUCCCCGUUUUCUCCAGGGAUUAUUUGAAGUGGACAGCAAAAGAAAUCCAGGCCAUCAACACCUUUGGUGAAAAGAAAUACUAGGACUUCGGUCUUGGGCCCAGGCCCACUGCUGACAGCAUGAUGGAAGGAUGCACUUGCGGUCUAGACUCCCCCUCCCGCCUCCUGGAGUGGGGGUGAGGCGGCGUGGGCAACGGUUGGGAAGCUGUCUGGAGGCCUCUUGCAGAGACAUCAGAAUGCUUUGUUAGAACAAGCGCUGGGGAUCCAUCCUGUGGCUCACCCUAUCAAGCUGAAACCGGAUGUUGCUGCCAAGUUCUUUGGAAGGCUAAACAUUGUUGCCCUUGAACAUCUGCGUCUGCAAAAAGUUCUAGAUGUCAACCUUGUGACUAUACUAAUAAAAUCCUUGAAAGGUGAACAGAGGACAAACUGUACCAAGCCUCUGGUCCAAUGGCAUCCUGGAGUGGAGGGGGCUGCUCUGUGCGUCCUGGAGGUCUCACCCUAACAUGCGUCAGGGCAGAGGAAGUCUUGAGAACCUUGUGGACUUAUCUGUGGCAUCUUGAGGUAAGCAGUUCUGACCGUGGGGACAGAGUGGCAGUUUUCCCAGCUUGCUCAGAAAUGCAAGCACACACAGGUUCUUGGAUAAAUGGCUGAAGUGAGGUGUUCUUCUGAGAAUCGGGGGCUGCUCUUUGUUUCUCAAAUGAACACGCACAGACAGGUGGGCAGGGAGAGCAGCUUCAAAACACAGCAUGGACCUGGGUUUCAGUCCUGUCUCAGGAGAAGUAUUGUUUCUUUUCGCUACAGACUAGGAACUAAAUGAAGGUUUUAUACGCAGGGUCAUACAGGACGCCGGACACCGGACACUUAUAAAAACUUACAAGUGUUAGCAAAUGUUCUGGGUCAUUCAGAGACUCACCAGUAUAUUAAUAAAUUUUAACAGAGAAGAGGCUUUUCAUUCAAACACCGGUACCGUUCUACACUGGAGAACAGAGACUCAGGAUUCCAGAAUGCAGCCCCCAGCCACUUCAGUGAGGGGUUUGUAAAGGCAAAGAAUACAAAGUUACAGUUUGCUCUGGUUCAGCAAAAACAGUCCUCUUUACAGAACCAGAAACAGCCAUAAAAAAUGUAACCUUAACAGCUCUUAAUGUUUGGAGGUCUAGAUGGGCUUUAUGGUUCUGUUAAGCACAGAGAUGUUAAGUUUUUAAACAUAAAGUUAGCCAUUGAUGUGACUUUAGCCACCGUUGAGUUAUACCCUGAGUCAAAUCCUUGACUCUGCAUUGGGUACCUUUUCAUAUUGGGACUUAUUUACUAUCAUCUUAAUAGCUCAUAAGCAGGAUUUAUAGAUCUGGUCUUAACCUUGGCCUUAGUUAGUGUUAAUGAUGCAGGGUCAACUAUAAUCAGCAGGCACCCAAGGAAGAACAUGGGAGCCAUUUAUUUCCUCUCUGUGAGGUGUUUUCAAAGUUCAGCCAAAUUAUCCUUGAUACUCCUGAGUGGUUUGCCUAGAAGCAGAUGGCUACAGUAACCUCCUUGCCCUGUGUAAAGCAGAUCAAGUCCCUACCAUGUUGGAAGACUACCUCAGCCAAGAGUCAAGGUGUUCUUUUAAUUUUGCAAUGGACUUUUCUCAGGCAAAAAACAUCUGGGUUAUUUGAGGCCCUAAGUUUUUGUAGUUGACAUUAGUUGUGCUGUGCCUGUUGUCCUGAGCGUGGCUCAAGCCAUUCCCAAUCCUAAAUUUACUAUGGGGGAUGUAAGGGCCGGUGCCUGUGCAUACAUGUGUUUUCUCCCUACUGGACCAUUAUAAAGGCACAUGCAGGGAACAGGGUUAUCAAGACACAGAUUUUCAGGGAUUAGUGCACCUGCCAAAUAGGUAAGCAAGGUGCCAAGGGUUAGCACAUGUGAAACAAUGUUUCAACUGGGAGGUGAAGGAAGGAACAUUCACCUGAAGAAGUGAUGGCUGGGAACUGUGAGACAUCUGUGACAAGUUUGUAUCUGCUCUUAAGGGGGAUAUAGAAAUACAUCCCACAAAAGAGCAGGAGUUAAAUAUAGUCACAUAAAACAGUAGUAGUCUAUAAUUGUGUCCAGUUUAUCUUUGGUGGAUCCUCUCGGGCAUUGUGACAGUUCAUUUUUCUGCAGCCAGGUCAUUGUGGCCUGUGUUGUGCUUGACCUGCCAAUAAUAUACCCAGCUGUAGAUAGAUGCCAUCUUCCUUAGCAGCCAUGGGGGUGGUCAGGAUGACAAAGCAUGAUCCCUUCCAACAAGGUCCCAGAUCCUUCAGACCUAACAUGCCAGCUUUUUGUUAAGGGGGGAUGUGCUUACUUCUGUAACUGCUUCUCACUGAGAUUAAGACACCCUCGUAAGAACCCAUGAAGGCUGGAAAGCCAAAGGCCCAGGGGUGGGGCUCAGAUUGGGGGGCUGGAGGCAUUCACCAUAAGCAUCUGUUUUGCUGAUCCAGCUGAAGAGACAAGGAGCAAUUGUAUUGGCUGGUCUGAUUAUAGGGUUGCACAUCUGUGAUCUUAGCAUUCUGGAGGCAGAGGCAGGAGGAUCUCCAUUUGGAGGACAUCCUGGGCUAUAUAGACUCUCAUGCAUCUAUAAAGAAACUUUUGUUGUUCCUGUCUUGGGGCUGAAUUAAAGCCACUGAGUACAAACCCCGCUGUUGUACUGUGGCUGCACCUGAGGAAGUCCUCUUGAAUCUUAACGUUAACAUAUUAAAUACCCAAACCUUAUAUUAUGACCAAGUGAUAAGAGGGAGGAGAGGGGUUGGGGAUUUAGCUCAGUGGUAGAGCACUUGCCUAGCAAACGCAAGGCCCUGGGUUC
rnacentral:sRNA from 1 species